CCUACGGGAGGCAGCAGUGAGGAAUAUUGGACAAUGGAUGGAAAUCUGAUCCAGCCAUGCCGCGUGCAGGAAGACGGCCCUAUGGGUUGUAAACUGCUUUUGUAUGGGAGCAAUAAGGGCUACGUGUAGCCUGAUGAGAGUACCAUACGAAUAAGCAUCGGCUAACUCCGUGCCAGCAGCCGCGGUAAU
rnacentral:rRNA from 1 species